GGCGCAUACAAAGAGAAGCGACCUCGCGAGAGCAAGCGGACCUCAUAAAGUGCGUCGUAGUCCGGAUUGGAGUCUGCAACUCGACUCCAUGAAGUCGGAAUCGCUAGUAAUCGUGGAUCAGAAUGCCACGGUGAAUACGUUCCCGGGCCUUGUACACACCGCCCGUCACACCAUGGGAGUGGGUUGCAAAAGAAGUAGGUAGCUUAACCUUCGGGAGGGCGCUUACCACUUUGUGAUUCAUGACUGGGGUGAAGUCGUAACAAGGUAACCGUAGGGGAACCUGCGGUUGGA
rnacentral:rRNA from 2 species